rnacentral:rRNA from 1 species
UACGGAGGAUGCGAGCGUUAUCCGGAUUUAUUGGGUUUAAAGGGUGCGUAGGCGGGUUAUCAAGUCAGCGGUAAAAUCGUGGAGCUCAACUCCAUCCAGCCGUUGAAACUGAUGAUCUUGAGUGGGCGAGAAGUAUGCGGAAUGCGUGGUGUAGCGGUGAAAUGCAUAGAUAUCACGCAGAACUCCGAUUGCGAAGGCAGCAUACCGGCGCCCGACUGACGCUGAAGCACGAAGGCGUGGGUAUCGAACAGG